UUGGUGCUUCAGCGAAUGGACGAAGCAGUUGAAUCGAUCAAGAAGUAUUACAUAAGGAGUUGGUUGCGGCGUUUAUUAUUUACUGACAAUAUUGACGUGUAUCUACGAGUUUUCCAAGAAGAUUAAUUAAAAGAUCUAUGUGUGGAGUGAACCAUGAGAAAAGUAAACGAUAAAUUAUGCAGUUGCGCAGUGGGUUUCAGGUGAAUGAAGUCGGACUUAUGGCUAACGACAUGGUCGGCCGAGUCACGGAGUCAAUUUUAUGCGAGCUUCCUGCACGGGGAGAUCCUCAUAGCGAAUUCUUGCCCGUGAACGCUUACGCAUGACGGAUGUGGCGAUGCACGGUUGCUUAGUCUCUUACGUAAACACACGUCCAGCGUUUUCCACGCUGCGCGAAACCCAGCCAUUGACGCGACGAGCAUGAACGGGCUCGUUUUUUUAGCGUACACAAAAUACGCUAUUAAUUAAGGCUGGCCUGACCUCCUAAUGGAAUAAUUCGCAUUCAUUCAUCUUGUUCUUGGUUUUUUUCUUGCACGUUGGAUUCUGACUCAUUCAGUUCAUAAAUGGCGCCAUUGAAUAUCAGAGAACAUUUUGAGAAAUUCUUUUCACAAAUUAUUUAUUAAUUCGCUUUAACACUAAACCUACCGCCGGUCAAAACGAACGGAGUCGUAUAUUUUCUUUACGAAUUGUUAGAAUUAUGUCUUUCGUAGGAAAUGACUGAAUCGAAAGAAUAAAAGUAAAAAUAACGAGAUGUCUAAAUAAA